rnacentral:rRNA from 1 species
ACGGCUCAGUAACACGUGGCCAAACUACCCAACAGACCGUGAUAACCUCGGGAAACUGAGGCUAAUAACGGAUAGUGCUCCCGAGCUGGAAUGCUGGGAGCGCGAAAGCUCCGGCGCUGUUGGAUGUGGCUGCGGCCGAUUAGGUAGACGGUGGGGUAACGGCCCACCGUGCCGAUAAUCGGUACGGGUUGUGAGAGCAAGAGCCCGGAGACGGACUCUGAGACAAGAGUCCGGGCCCUACGGGGCGCAGCAGGCGCGAAACCUUUACACUGUACGCAAGUACGAUAGGGGGACACCGAGUGCGAGGGCAUAGAGCCCUCGCUUUUGUACACCGUAAGGUGGUGCACGAAUAAGGGCUGGGCAAGACCGGUGCCAGCCGCCGCGGUAACACCGGCAGCCCAAGUGAUGGCCGCUAUUAUUGGGCCUAAAGCGUCCGUAGCUGGCCGUUCAGGUCCGUCGGGAAAUCCACUGGCUUAACCAGUGGGCGUCCGGCGGAAACCGUUCGGCUUGGAACAGGGAGACCAGAGGGGUACGUCCGGGGUAGGAGUGAAAUCCCGUAAUCCUGGACGGACCAUCGGUGGCGAAAGCGCCUCUGGAGAACUGAUUCGACAGUGAGGGACGAAAGCUGGGGUCUCGAACCGGAUUAGAUACCCGGGUAGUCCCAGCCGUAAACGAUGCUCGCUAGGUGUGUCGCAGGCUACGAGCCUGCGAUGUGCCGUAGGGAAGCCGAGAAGCGAGCCGCCUGGGAAGUACGUCCGCAAGGAUGAAACUUAAAGGAAUUGGCGGGGGAGCAC